rnacentral:rRNA from 1 species
GACGAACGCUGGCGGCGUGCUUAACACAUGCAAGUCGAACGGAAAGGCCCUGCUUUUGUGGGGUGCUCGAGUGGCGAACGGGUGAGUAACACGUGAGUAACCUGCCCUUGACUUUGGGAUAACUUCAGGAAACUGGGGCUAAUACCGGAUAGGAGCUCCUGCUGCAUGGUGGGGGUUGGACAGUUUCGGCGGUUGGGGAUGGACUCGCGGCUUAUCAGCUUGUUGGUGGGGUAGUGGCUUACCAAGGCUUUGACGGGUAGCCGGCCUGAGAGGGUGACCGGCCACAUUGGGACUGAGAUACGGCCCAGACGCCUACGGGAGGCAGCAGGGGGGAAUAUUGCACAAUGGGCGGAAGCCUGAUGCAGCAACGCCGCGUGCGGGAUGACGGCCUUCGUGUUGGAAACCGCUUUCGCCUGUGACGAAGCGUGAGUGACGGUAAUGGGUAAAGAAGCACCGGCUAACUACGUG